rnacentral:lncRNA from 1 species
AUGGAGAGUUUCACCAAGCCACAAAUUUUUGAGCUGAGUAUUGAGCUGGAUCUCAAGAUGAGUAGGAAUUUACCAAGGGAGAAAAAAAAAAAAAAGGAGAGAGAAGAGAGUGCUUCACCAGCAGAGAAAGCAAGCAGCAUGGACCACAGGGUCAUCAAUCUGAUUGGAAGGAGAAUUACCCACAUUAUUUUCACUUGUCGAAGGAAGAGGAAGUCUAGUAAAGAAACAGAACUGAAAGAGAGACCAAAUGGCCCUUCAUCUUCUGAGUCAUUUCUAUCAUGUUUAUUUCUCCAUUUGCUCAAUUUCUUUGAGUACACAUGAGGCUGAACUCGCAUGUCAUCAGGUAAGCAGUCACCAAAAAAUAGAUGGCAUUUUCAUUUUGGGUCAGCAGAAGUACAUAUUCUAGAUCAGCCAUCAAUCUGGAGUCAAAUAGUAUGGUGUUUUGUUAGGGUUGAUUUAGUGGUAUUCAAAUCAAAAUAACCUUUUGCAUACUGAAAGUACAUUAUUGCAUAAUUCAUUUUAUGCAGUAUCUCAUUAAGUUUUUUUUUUUUUUUUUUUUUUUUUUUUUUUUUUUUACAUUCUUACCAAUUGACCUUAUUUGUCCAGGACUUAAUUUUCUGUGUCCCGCAAGCCCCUCAGUGUAUCCAGUGGUAACUGCCACUUUUAAUUUACCUGAGACUUAGCUACUUUGAUUUUAGUCUUGGACAAGUUCUGUGAAAAUGUCUUAUCUGUAAUCCAUUUCCUUAAUGUAUAUCAGGUAGUAAUAGAGAAAAAGAGUUAGAGUUAUAGAAGCACAAGGCUGAAUUAUCCAUUAGUUUGGGAAUUCAAAUUCUCUAUUUUUUUUGUUGUUGCUGUUGUUGUAUAUUAGAUUGUAGGAGGCAAAAUAGAUGGACAAUAAAAUCUUUGUUUUUGUGGUUCUGAAAAAAUAA